rnacentral:rRNA from 1 species
AGCUCCAAUAGCGUAUAUUAAAGUUGUUGCAGUUAAAAAGCUCGUAGUUGAAUUUCUGUCAUAUGACAGCUGGCUGACCGAAAGGUUCAGUCUGGUUGGCAUUGAUAUCUUUCAGGAUACUUCUCCUCUUAACCGGGGUGGAGGAUUCUUGGACAGUUACUUUGAGAAAAUUAGAGUGUUUCAAGCAGGCAUAUGCCUUGAAUACUACAGCAUGGAAUAAUAAGAUAGGACUUCGGUUCUUUCUUGUUGGUUCGGAGAACUGAGGUAAUGAUUAACAGGGACAGUCGGGGGCAUUCGUAUUUAACUGUCAGAGGUGAAAUUCUUAGAUUUGUUAAAGACGAACUACUGCGAAAGCAUUUGUCAAGGAUGUUCCCA